ensembl:snRNA U2 U2 spliceosomal RNA
AGGGUUUCUCAGUGUUUUGGCUAAAAUCAAAUAUAGUACCUGUUCUUAUCAGUUUAGUAUCUGAGAGGUCAACAUAUCAAAUGGAUUUUUAGAGCUGGGAAACAGAAUAAGAGCUUGCUCUUUCUGCUCUGUGUAUCAGCCCAGUACUACAGCUCCUCUAGGAACAGUGCACCCCCC